CUGACUGACCGAUAGUGAACCAGUACCGUGAGGGAAAGGCGAAAAGAACCCCGGCGAGGGGAGUGAAAAAGAACCUGAAACCGUGUACGUACAAGCAGUGGGAGCACAGGUUUACCUGUGUGACUGCGUACCUUUUGUAUAAUGGGUCAGCGACUUAUAUUCUGUAGCAAGGUUAACCGUAUAGGGGAGCCGUAGGGAAACCGAGUCUUAACCGGGCGUUAAGUUGCAGGGUAUAGACCCGAAACCCGGUGAUCUAGCCAUGGGCAGGUUGAAGGUUGGGUAACACUAACUGGAGGACCGAACCGACUAAUGUUGAAAAAUUAGCGGAUGACCUGUGGCUGGGGGUGAAAGGCCAAUCAAACCGGGAGAUAGCUGGUUCUCCCCGAAAGCUAUUUAGGUAGCGCCUCGUGAAUUCAUCUCCGGGGGUAGAGCACUGUUUCGGCUAGGGGGCCAUCCCGGCUUACCAACCCGAUGCAAACUGCGAAUACCGGAGAAUGUUAUCACGGGAGACACACGGCGGGUGCUAACGUCCGUCGUGAAGAGGGAAACAACCCAGACCGCCAGCUAAGGUCCCAAAGUCAUGGUUAAGUGGGAAACGAUGUGGGAAGGCCCAGACAGCCAGGAUGUUGGCUUAGAAGCAGCCAUCAUUUAAAGAAAGCGUAAUAGCUCACUGGUCGAGUCGGCCUGCGCGGAAGAUGUAACGGGGCUAAACCAUGCACCGAAGCUGCGGCAGCGAACGUAUCACCCAAGACAACUUUACGGAGUUGACGAUUGACGGAGCGAAGCGACGUCAAAGCGUUCAUUAAAGUCGAGUUGGCUUAGGGAUACGUUCGUUGGGUAGGGGAGCGUUCUGUAAGCCUGUGAAGGUGUGUCGUGAGGCAUGCUGGAGGUAUCAGAAGUGCGAAUGCUGACAUAAGUAACGAUAAAGCGGGUGAAAAGCCCGCUCGCCGGAAGACCAAGGGUUCCUGUCCAACGUUAAUCGGGGCAGGGUGAGUCGACCCCUAAGGCGAGGCCGAAAGGCGUAGUCGAUGGGAAACGGGUUAAUAUUCCCGUACUUGGUGUUACUGCGAAGGGGGGACGGAGAAGGCUAUGUUGGCCGGGCGACGGUUGUCCCGGUUUAAGCGUGUAGGUGUGUGUUCCAGGUAAAUCCGGUUCACUUUAACACUGAGGCGUGACGACGAGGCACUACGGUGCUGAAGCAACAAAUGCCCUGCUUCCAGGAAAAGCCUCUAAGCAUCAGGUAACAC
rnacentral:rRNA from 1 species